rnacentral:rRNA from 1 species
ACUGUAGGCUGCAACUCGCCUACACGAAGCUGGAAUCGCUAGUAAUCGCGGAUCAGCACGCCGCGGUGAAUACGUUCCCGGGCCUUGUACACACCGCCCGUCACACCAUGAGAGUCUGUAACACCCAAAGCCGGUGGGAUAACCUUUAUAGGAGUCAGCCGUCUAAGGUAGGACAGAUGAUUAGGGUGAAGUCGUAACAAGGUAUC